rnacentral:rRNA from 1 species
AGCUCCAAUAGCGUAUAUUAAAGUUGCUGCAGUUAAAAAGCUCGUAGUUGCAUUUCCGAGGCAAGGGAUUAGUCCGACCUUUGGUGGGUAUUUAAUCCUCUUGCCUCGUCCUUGAGUGGUGCUUCUUGGUAUUAAGUUAUCGAGGAGAUAGCCGCUCAUCGUUUACUGUGAGAAAAUUAGAGUGUUCAAAGCAGGCUUAUGCCGUUGAAUAUAUUAGCAUGGAAUAAUAAGAUAGGCCCUCGGUACUAUUUUGUGGGUUUGAGAACCAAGGUAAUGAUGAAUAGGGACAGUUGGGGGUAUUCGUAUUCAGUUGUCAGAGGUGAAAUUCUUAGAUUUACGGAAGACGAACUACUGCGAAAGCAUUUACCAAGGAUGUUUUCA